AGCGUACCACUUCGUUUAAUUAACCAAGGAACGCUUUUAUUUCGAGGACGUUUGUCUAUAUUCGUAGGGCGCAACUUUUCAUUAUUAUAUGGUAUUCCGAAAUUAAAAUUCGGUUAUUGACCUCUGAUCAUCUAUCUAUCAACUAUCUAAUUUACUUUUCGCUUUGGAGAUGUGAAGGACAAAGUGCUCCAUGAGUUACUGUACCGUCAAUCCGGUAAAAUAUGGGGUAGUUUUUGAACUGAGACUAUGAAGUUUGUCUUCGUUAUUUAUUAU